UUCCAGCCAGCGCCACUUAAAUCUAGUUAUUCGAGAUAUUGCCCAAGAUAAUCAAGACGUCCUUUGGAUUGCCAGU
rnacentral:tRNA from 1 species